AGGAAGCCUUCACGAGAGCCGGCAUAUGAAAUUAGGGUUCCAUCAUCUUUUUCGAUCUACGACGACCUUAACCAGCAAUGGAGAUUUAGUAUGUCGAAUCAGACGAAUUGUCACGAGGAGGAUCUAUGUCAUGUUGCGGUUUCGUCGUUUUGUCUUAUUAAUUCCCUCGAUGCCGUAAAGCACGACGCCCUCAUUCAAUGAUACAUAUGCAUGUCAGAGGCGGUUCUAGAAUUAUAAAUAGCUGUUCUUCUUCAUGAUUUGAAGUCCGGCCACUGUUCUUCCACCGUAGAAACCACUCUCAUGCCAACCACGGUGAAUGUAGCCGACUCUCCACAUUCAGGCACCAUCUCAAGGCUGGUUCAAUGUUCACACUCAGUGGAUUUGAUGUGGUUCUGUCCAAUCAGAACCGACUCUCUUUUGACUAUUAUGUUCAGUUACUCAGCCAAAUUUGAUGCCUUUACCGAACCGGUUUCUCCAAUUCUGGUUGAGCGUUUCAGGUUCCGCGAUCUCGAUUCUCUGCUUGGCCUAGCCAACACCAACACACAACUUCCAUGUGUAUCCUCUUAUAAGCUUCCUUCCUAACUUUGUUACCGAUGGUGACAUAAUGAUGGAGAUCAGUGGCGGAGGUAGAGAGGUGGUAAAGGGGGCAACUGCCCCACAUAAAUUAUUGGAAAAAAAAUUAUUUUCAUUGAUUUUUUAAAAAUUUUACGAUAAGUGUUAAAAUCCCUUCUAAUGCCCUUCAUGAUUUUAAGCUCAAACAUUAUAUUGCCCCUGGUGAAUCUUCUGGCUGGCUCCGCCACUGAUGGAGAUGACAUGCCUGGGACCAUCUCAGUCCUUACUAAGGAUGGCGUUGGUGUUAAUGACCAUGAGGAAUCAUCAUCCGCAGGAACAACUGCAAGUGGUCUUGCCACCAAGAAGCUCCGGGUAUUAGCAACUUCGAAGGUGAUCACAAAAUGUGUAUCUGGAGUCAGUAUUUUCUAUUUGAAUAAUGCUUAGGCAUCAAUGUUGUUUUUUUUUUUAAUUUUGUCAUCUUCUGGAAAUUGCUAUGUUUCCUAGACCAUCAUUUAAAUGGUUUUUUUACGUUUUGACAAAAUUUACACAUUUAUUUAAGCUGCUGAAGAUAGGUAUA